rnacentral:rRNA from 1 species
UACGUAGGGGGCUAGCGUUGUCCGGAUUUAUUGGGCGUAAAGAGCGUGUAGGCGGCCUGACAGGUCUGCUGUGAAAACUCGAGGCUCAACCUCGAGAUGUCGGCGGAAACCGUCUGGCUAGAGUCCGGAAGAGGAGAGUGGAAUUCCCGGUGUAGCGGUGAAAUGCGCAGAUAUCGGGAAGAACACCCGUGGCGAAGGCGGCUCUCUGGGACGGUACUGACGCUGAGACGCGAAAGCGUGGGGAGCGAACAGG